rnacentral:tRNA from 1 species
UAGCUCAACUGGAUAGAGCAACAGACUUCUAAUCUGUAGGUUGCAGGUUCAAGUCCUGC